rnacentral:rRNA from 1 species
CCUACGGGAGGCAGCAGUGAGGAAUAUUGGUCAAUGGGCGCGAGCCUGAACCAGCCAAGUCGCGUGAGGGAAGACGGUCCUAUGGAUUGUAAACCUCUUUUGUCGGGGAGCAAAAGACGCCACGCGUGGCGUUUUGUGAGUACCCGAAGAAAAAGCAUCGGCUAACUCCGUGCCAGCAGCCGCGGUAAUACGGAGGAUGCGAGCGUUAUCCGGAUUUAUUGGGUUUAAAGGGUGCGUAGGCGGAAUUUCAAGUCAGCGGUAAAAUUUCGGGGCUCAACCCCGUCGUGCCGUUGAUACUGGGGUUCUUGAGUGAGCGAGAAGUAGGCGGAAUGCGUGGUGUAGCGGUGAAAUGCAUAGAUAUCACGCAGAACUCCGAUUGCGAAGGCAGCAUACCGGCGCUCAACUGACGCUCAUGCUCGAAAGCGUGGGGAGCAAACAGGAUUAGAUACCCUAGUAGUC